UACGAAGGGGGCUAGCGUUGCUUGGAAUCACUGGGCGUAAAGGGUGCGUAGGCGGGUUUUUAAGUCAGAGGUGAAAUCCUGGAGCUCAACUCCAGAACUGCCUUUGAUACUGAAAGUCUUGAGUAUGGGAGAGGUGAGUGGAACUGCGAGUGUAGAGGUGAAAUUCGUAGAUAUUCGCAAGAACACCAGUGGCGAAGGCGGCUCACUGGCCCAUAACUGACGCUGAGGCACGAAAGCGUGGGGAGCAAACAGG
rnacentral:rRNA from 1 species